rnacentral:rRNA from 1 species
AUUGAACGCUGGCGGCAUGCCUUACACAUGCAAGUCGAACGGUAACAGGUCUUUCGGGCUGCUGACGAGUGGCGAACGGGUGAGUAAUACAUCGGAACGUGCCUAGUAGUGGGGGAUAACUACUCGAAAGAGUGUCUAAUACCGCAUGAGAUCUAUGGAUGAAAGCAGGGGACCUUUGGGCCUUGUGCUACUAGAGCGGCCGAUGGCAGAUUAGGUAGUUGGUGGGAUAAAAGCUUACCAAGCCUACGAUCUGUAGCUGGUCUGAGAGGACGAUCAGCCACACUGGGACUGAGACACGGCCCAGACUCCUACGGGAGGCAGCAGUGGGGAAUUUUGGACAAUGGGCGCAAGCCUGAUCCAGCAAUGCCGCGUGCAGGAUGAAGGCCUUCGGGUUGUAAACUGCUUUUGUACGGAACGAAAAGUCUUGGGUUAAUACCCUGGGAUCAUGACGGUACCGUAAGAAUAAGCACCGGCUAACUACGUG